rnacentral:rRNA from 1 species
UGAGGGGGAUAACCGAGGGAAACUUUGGCUAAUACCGCAUGAAGACUCUAAGGCAUCUUAGAGGGAUAAAAGUUGGGAAACAACGCAUGAAGAUGGGCUUAUGGCGCAUUAGCUAGUUGGUGAGAUAGAAGCCCACCAAGGGUAAUGAUGCGUAGCCGACCUGAGAGGGUGAACGGCCACAUUGGGACUGAGACACGGCCCAAACUCCUACGGGAGGCAGCAGUAGGGAAUUUUCGGCAAUGGGGGGAACCCUGACCGAGCAACGCCGCGUGGAAGGGAAGAAGGUUUUUCGGAUUGUAAACUUCUGUUAUAAGGGAAGAACGGAUUGGAUAGGGAAUGAUCUGAUAGUGACGGUACCUUAUUAGAAAGCCACGGCUAACUACGUGCCAGCCGCUGC